rnacentral:rRNA from 1 species
UUGAACGCUAGCGGCAUGCCUUACACAUGCAAGUCGAACGGCAGCACGGGGGCAACCCUGGUGGCGAGUGGCGAACGGGUGAGUAAUGCAUCGGAACGUGCCCAUCGGAUGGGGGAUAACUGCGCGAAAGCGUUGCUAAUACCGCAUACGACCUACGGGUGAAAGCAGGGGACCGCAAGGCCUUGCGUCGAUGGAGCGGCCGAUGCCGGAUUAGCUAGUUGGUGAGGUAAAGGCUCACCAAGGCGACGAUCCGUAGCUGGUCUGAGAGGACGACCAGCCACACUGGGACUGAGACACGGCCCAGACUCCUACGGGAGGCAGCAGUGGGGAAUCUUGGACAAUGGGGGAAACCCUGAUCCAGCCAUGCCGCGUGAGCGAAGAAGGCCUUCGGGUUGUAAACCACUUUUGGCGGGAAAGAAAUGGUCUGUGCUAAUACCACGGAUUGAUGACGGUACCGAGAGAGGAAGCCCCGGCUAACUACGUG